GUAGACGGAGUGCAGGGCGUACUCUGCGUCUGGAGCCCAGCACUUUGUCCCCACUCCCUUCAGGAGCUGAAGUGAAAAUGAAGGUCAAAAUGAUGAAAAGAUGGUUCAUGACAGGAAGAGGAGGAUGGAGAUAAAUGGCCGAGGAGGAGGAGAUGAUGCGGAGAAGCUCUGAUGGAGACGUAUAGCAAUCUGGAUAUGAACUGCACUCAUGUGAAAGCAUUUUUGUCUUGGAUGAGGACAUCAGGGAGGGGAGAUGAAAUAAAGCAGUGCUAUGAGA